rnacentral:misc_RNA from 1 species
UCUCCGUAGGUGAACCUGCGGAGGGAUCAUUACAAGUGACCCCGGUCUUACCACCGGGAUGUUCACAACCCUUUGUUGUCCGACUCUGUUGCCUCCGGGGCGACCCUGCCUUCGGGCGGGGGCUCCGGGUGGACACUUCAAACUCUUGCGUAACUUUGCAGUCUGAGUAAACUUAAUUAAUAAAUUAAAACUUUUAACAACGGAUCUCUUGGUUCUG